ACUUAAUGAAUAAAGAUUCACAAGGGCCCAAAAGCCCAAAUCCCUUAAAGUGGCCGGCCAUGUUAGAAGAAUGGUUUUUGGUUCUUUAGGUCACUUAUUUGAAGGGACUAUAUAAAGGACUUUAUAGCCUAAAUUCAUUAAGGGUUUUUUUUAGGAAAUUGGAGAGAACACAAAGCUCUCCUUUCUCUCUAAAGAGGCCGGCCCCCUUGGAGGGAUUAGCUAGCAAUCUCACUCCUCCAAGGUCACUCAUUUCUUCUC
rnacentral:lncRNA from 1 species